GUGCCAGCAGCCGCGGUAAUACGGAGGAUGCAAGCGUUAUCCGGAAUGAUUGGGCGUAAAGCGUCCGCAGGUGGUUAUACAAGUCUGCUGUCAAAGCGCAAGGCUCAACCUUGUAAAGGCAGUGGAAACUGUGUGACUAGAGAGUGAUAGGGGCAGAGGGAAUUCCCAGUGUAGCGGUGAAAUGCGUAGAGAUUGGGAAGAACACCGGUGGCGAAAGCGCUCUGCUGGGUCAUAUCUGACACUGAGGGACGAAAGCUAGGGGAGCGAAAGGGAUUAGAUACCCCUGUAGUCC
rnacentral:rRNA from 1 species